UACGGAGGGUGCAAGCGUUAUCCGGAUUUACUGGGUUUAAAGGGUGCGUAGGUGGAUAAGUAAGUCAGUGGUGAAAUCUUCGGGCUUAACCCGGAAACUGCCAUUGAUACUAUUUGUCUUGAAUACUUUGGAGGUAAGCGGAAUAUGUCAUGUAGCGGUGAAAUGCGUAGAUAUCUGGAGGAACACCGGUGGCGAAGGCGGCAUCCUGGACCAUUAUUGACGCUGAGGAGCGAAAGCCAGGGGAGCAAACGGG
rnacentral:rRNA from 1 species